ACCAGACUCCUACGGGAGGCAGCAGUGGGGAAUAUUGCACAAUGGGGGGAACCCUGAUGCAGCGACGCCGCGUGGGUGAAGGAGCGUUUCGGCGCGUAAAGCCCUAUCGGCAGGGAAGAAGGAGGACGGUACCUGACUAAGAAGCCCCGGCUAACUACGUGCCAGCAGCCGCGGUAAUACGUAGGGGGCAAGCGUUAUCCGGAUUUAUUGGGUUUAAAGGGUGCGUAGGCGGAAUGCCAAGUCAGCGGAAAACGCCGGGGGCCCACCCCCGGCGAGCCGUUGAAACUGGCGGGCUGGAGUUGGAGAGAAGUACGCGGAAUGCGCGGUGUAGCGGUGAAAUGCUUAGAUAUCGCGCAGAACCCCGAUUGCGAAGGCAGCGUACCGGCUCCACACUGACGCUGAGGCACGAAAGCGUGGGUAUCGAACAGGAUUAGAUACCCGUGUA
rnacentral:rRNA from 1 species